rnacentral:rRNA from 1 species
UGAGGAAUAUUGCGCAAUGGGGGAAACCCUGACGCAGCAACGCCGCGUGGGUGAAGAAGGCCUUCGGGUCGUAAAGCCCUUUCGGACGGGACGAACGCUCCGCGGUGACAACCCGCGGAGUCUGACGGUACCGUAAGAAGAAGCACCGGCUAACUCCGUGCCAGCAGCCGCGGUAAUACGGAGGGUGCAAGCGUUGUUCGGAAUUACUGGGCGUAAAGCGCGUGUAGGCGGCCUUGCAAGCCAGACGUGAAAGCCCUCGGCUUAACCGGGGAAGUGCGUCGGGAACUGCUCGGCUCGAGUACGGGAGAGGGAGGCGGAAUUCCCAGCGUAGAGGUGAAAUUCGUAGAUAUUGGGAGGAACACCGGUGGCGAAAGCGGCCUCCUGGACCGAUACUGACGCUGAGACGCGAAAGCGUGGGGAGCAAACAGGAUUAGAUACCCUGGUAGUCCACGCUGUAAACGAUGGGCACUAGGUGUGGGGGGUAUCCACUCCUCCCGUGCCGCAGCUAACGCACUAAGUGCCCCGCCUGGGGAGUACGGCCGCAAGGUUA